CUCGCUGCAGCAGCAGGAUCUGUUUCUGAAAAACGGACUGCAGGAGUUGAGGGAGAAGACCUUCAAAAGAGAGAGAGUCUCUACGCAAAAGAAUUAAUGGACACAAAUCUGACAUCAGGAAUCAGAAUACUCAAAAACCAGUGGGAGAACACUUUAACCUGUCUGGCCAUUCAGUGACAGACCUGCGGGUGGCUAUCUUACAACAGAAAAACUUCAAAAACAGACUCCAAUGAGAGACUGCUGAGCUGGAAUUGAUAUGCAAACUAGAUACAAUCAACUCAGGAUUGAAUAAGGACUGGGAAUGGCUGAGCCAUUACAAACAUUGAAUCUAUCUCCCCUUCUGCUGAUAGUCAUCACCACGUCCUGACUUAACGGCAAGCCCCGCAAUGGAGACCCAUUCCACUUCUUCACUAGGCAACAGACAUCCCAGAUCACCAACCCUUCUGUACGACACAUCCCCUUUUUUCGCAAGUCAA